CUAGGCUAGACUGGGUCUCGGUACUGAGGAUAGAACUGGGUCUCUGGUACUGAGGUCGAACUGGGUCUCUGGUACUGAGGAUAGAACUGGGUCUCUGGUACUGAGGAUAGAACUCGGGGUCUCUGGUACUGAGGCUAGAACUGGGUCUCUGGUACUGAGGAUAGA
rnacentral:lncRNA from 1 species